rnacentral:lncRNA from 1 species
UGUGUAUAUAUAUAUAAUUAGAAUGGGUUAGGUGAACCCAAUAAAACCAGACCCAGUCUGUUUGGAUGAACCCGGAUGAGGGAUGGGCUAAAUUUCAGGUAGAAAAGGAAAUAACAUAUUAUUAUUAUUAUGACAUGAUUGUAGGUGACUUAGGACUCGUCACCAGGACGCGGGAGACCUAGGAAAAAGGCAAAUUACUGUAAGUAA